GCGCCUGUAGUUCAGCUGGAUAGAACGACAGAUUCCGGAUCUGUAGGUCGGGGGUUCGAAUCCCUUCAGGCGUA
rnacentral:tRNA from 1 species